ACGUCAGAGGUCCCUCUCCGUGUGUUAUGAUGUCAGAGGUCCCUCUCCGUGUGUUAUGAUGUCAGAGGUCCCUCUCCAUGUGUUAUGAUGUCAGAGGUCCCUCUCCGUGUGUUAUGAUGUCAGAGGUCCCUCUCCGUGUGU